CUGGAACAUAAUGGAUUCAGUCAUAAUGGAUGACUGACUACAAGAUUGAUAUAAGAAUUCCACAUAUGUUGAAUUGCAUUUAAAAAGAUUUAUAUAGUUACACACAGCCUGUUGUUUGUGUUGUCAUCAGUUUUGCAUUGACGUGACAAAGGGUUUGGUAGUGUUUUGAAUGUGCUCCCCAAGACAAACAGAUUCCUGAGUGCUCACUUGUGCCUUUGACAUGACUCCUUUAAGCUAAUGAACCAACCCUUUCCUGGAUGUUGGGGGAAGGCUCCAGAGGCAAACCUUUCUCUUUGAGUAGCGCAGCUGUGCUGGAGAGCAGCCAGCCAGGUGUGAGUCUAUAUGUGUUAAUGGAUUUUAACUUGGUCAGUUUCAUUCCAGCUAUUUGCAGAUCUCCAGCUGUGAUAUCAUUGAUGUUCUCAUCGCUGCAGCUUUCUGCCGGUAAGCAGAUGAGGCUAUGACAUAAUGGCGUGACCGAGAACUACUGCCGGCGCAUGGAAUUAGAGAUCGCAGGACAAUCCAGCCCAAGUCCCCAGUGCUAGCUAAUGACAAAGCUUGCAUCUAAAAUGUAAAACAGAGGUCCAUUGUAAAUAAUAAUAAUAAUAAUAAUAAUAAUUUAUUUAUACCCCGCCCAUCUGGCUGGGUUUCCCCAGCCACUCUGGGCGGCUUCCAACAAAAUAUUAAAAUACAGUAAUGCAUCAAACAUUAAAAGCUUCCCUAAACAGGGCUGCCUUCAGAUGUCUUUUGAAGAUAGGAUAGCUGCUUAUUUCCUUCACAUCUGAAGGGAGAGUGUUCCACAGGGUGGGCACCACUACCGAGAAGGCCCUCUGCCUGGUUCCCUGUAACCUCACUUCUCGCAAUGAGGGAACCACCAGAAGACCCUCGGUGCUGGAUCUCAGUGUCCGGGCAGAACGAUGGGGGUGGAGACUCUCCUUCAGGUAUACAGGACAGAGGCCAUUUAGGGCUUUAAAGGUCAGCACCAACACUUUGAAUUGUGCUCGGAAACAUACUGGGAGCCAAUGCAGAUCUCUCAGAACCGGUGUUAUGUGGUCCCGGUGGCCACUCCCAGUCACCAGUCUAGCUGCCGCAUUCUGGAUUAAUUGCAGUUUCCGGGUCACCUUCAAAGGUAGCCCCACGUAGAGCGCAUUGCAGUAGUCCAAGUGGGAGUUAACUAGAGCAUGCACCACUCUGGCGAGACAGUCCGCGAGCAGGUAGGGUCUUAGCCUGCAUACCAGGUGGAGCUGGUAGACAGCUGCCCUGGACACAGAAUUAACCUGUGCCUCCAUGGACAGCUGUGAGUCCAGAAUGACUCCCAGGCUGCGCAUCUGGUCCUUCAGGGGCACGGUUACCCCUGAAGUAACCAUGCUCAAGUGGCAGAGCAUUCGUUUAGCACGAGAGAAGCAAUGGAAUUAAUGUCCACAUUAUUUAGCCAAGGCUUUCCCCCUAUUCCAGGGAUGAAGACCCUCUGCUCUCCAGAGGUUGCUGGACCACAGCUGCCAUGGGGCAUAUGACUGGGGACGAAGGAGUCCAACAACAUCUACAGGAUGUCCUGCCCUGCCUGCUUUUCCUUCUGGGUAAAGGCCAUAGUUCCCUGGAAGAGCACAUCCUUUGGGUGCAGAAGGUCCCAGCAUCACUCACCAGUAAAGGAUUGCAGACACCUAUGGCAGAGACCUUUGAAGAGUCAUUGCCAGCCAGAGGAGCCAAUGAGGUGGACAAAAUAGUCUGACCUCAUACAUAACAGCUUCUUACACCCAUACUUUUAAGUUAUCCUAAUGUACCUUUAUGCCUUAAAAAAAUCAUAAUCUAUA